CAAUAGCGUAUAUUAAAGUUGUUGCAGUUAAAAAGCUCGUAGUUGGAUUUGUGGCGGUUCCUGUGGUCCGAUUUCGGUACUUUCGGGGACUGCCAUCCUUGGGUGGAUCCUGUGUGGCAUUAGGUUGUCGUGCAGGGGAUGCCCAUCGUUUACUGUGAAAAAAUUAGAGUGUUCAAAGCAGGCUUACGCCGUUGAAUAUAUUAGCAUGGAAUAAUGAGAUAGGACCUUGGUACUAUUUUGUUGGUUUGCGCACCGAGGUAAUGAUUAAUAGGGACAGUUGUGGGUAUUCGUAUUCCAUUGUCAGAGGUGAAAUUCUUGGAUUUCUGGAAGACGAACGAAUGCGAAAGCAUUUACCAAGGAUGUUUNCAUUAA
rnacentral:rRNA from 1 species